rnacentral:misc_RNA from 1 species
GACAGAGGGUGCAAGCGUUGUUCGGAAUCAUUGGGCGUAAAGGGCGCGUAGGCGGCGACGUAAGUCGGAUGUGAAAGCCCAGGGCUCAACCCUGGAAGUGCAUCCGAAACUACGUCGCUUGAGUCCCGGAGAGGGUGGUGGAAUUCCCAGUGUAGAGGUGAAAUUCGUAGAUAUUGGGAGGAACACCGGUGGCGAAGGCGACCACCUGGACGGUGACUGACGCUGAGGCGCGAAAGCGUGGGGAGCAAACAGG